rnacentral:rRNA from 1 species
UACGAAGGGGGCUAGCGUUGUUCGGAUUUACUGGGCGUAAAGCGCACGUAGGCGGAUCGUUAAGUCGGGGGUGAAAUCCUGGAGCUCAACUCCAGAACUGCCUUCGAUACUGGCGAUCUUGAGUCCGGAAGAGGUGAGUGGAACUCCUAGUGUAGAGGUGGAAUUCGUAGAUAUUAGGAAGAACACCAAUAGCGAAGGCAGCUCGCUGGGACGUUACUGACACUGAGGCGCGAAAGCGUGGGGAGCGAACAGG